AACGCUAGCGGCAGGCUUAAUACAUGCAAGUCGAGGGGCAGCAUGAGUGUAGCAAUACAUUUGAUGGCGACCGGCAAACGGGUGCGGAACACGUACACAACCUUCCUUUAAGUGGGGAAUAGCCCAGAGAAAUUUGGAUUAAUACCCCGUAACAUUAUGAUGUGGCAUCACAUUAUAAUUAUAGCUCAGGCGCUUAAUGAUGGGUGUGCGGCUGAUUAGAUAGUUGGCGGGGUAACGGCCCACCAAGUCUGCGAUCAGUAACUGGUGUGAGAGCACGACCAGUCACACGGGCACUGAGACACGGGCCCGACUCCUACGGGAGGCAGCAGUAAGGAGUAUUGGGCAAUGGAGGCAACUCUGACCCAGCCAUGCCGCGUGAAGGAUGAAGGCCCUCUGGGUUGUAAACUUCUUUUAUAGGGGACGAAAAAAGCUCAUUCUUGAGCACUUGACGGUACCCUAGGAAUAAGCACCGGCUAACUCCGUGCCAGCAGCCGCGGUAAUACGGAGGGUGCAAGCGUUAUCCGGAUUCACUGGGUUUAAAGGGUGCGUAGGUGGGUUGGUAAGUCAGUGGUGAAAUCUCCGAGCUUAACUUGGAAACUGCCAUUGAUACUAUCAGUCUUGAAUAUUGUGGAGGUCAGCGGAAUAUGUCAUGUAGCGGUGAAAUGCUUAGAUAUGACAUAGAACACCAAUUGCGAAGGCAGCUGGCUACACAUAUAUUGACACUGAGGCACGAAAGCGUGGGG
rnacentral:rRNA from 1 species